rnacentral:rRNA from 1 species
AGAGUUUGAUCAUGGCUCAGAUUGAACGCUGGCGGCAGGCCUAACACAUGCAAGUCGAACGGUAACAGGAAGCAGCUUGCUGUUUUGCUGACGAGUGGCGGACGGGUGAGUAAUGUCUGGGAAACUGCCUGAUGGAGGGGGAUAACUACUGGAAACGGUAGCUAAUACCGCAUAACGUCGCAAGACCAAAGAGGGGGACCUUCGGGCCUCUUGCCAUCGGAUGUGCCCAGAUGGGAUUAGCUAGUAGGUGGGGUAACGGCUCACCUAGGCGACGAUCCCUAGCUGGUCUGAGAGGAUGACCAGCCACACUGGAACUGAGACACGGUCCAGACUCCUACGGGAGGCAGCAGUGGGGAAUAUUGCACAAUGGGCGCAAGCCUGAUGCAGCCAUGCCGCGUGUAUGAAGAAGGCCUUCGGGUUGUAAAGUACUUUCAGCGGGGAGGAAGGGAGUAAAGUUAAUACCUUUGCUCAUUGACGUUACCCGCAGAAGAAGCACCGGCUAACUCCGUGCCAGCAGCCGCGGUAAUACGGAGGGUGCAAGCGUUAAUCGGAAUUACUGGGCGUAAAGCGCACGCAGGCGGUUUGUUAAGUCAGAUGUGAAAUCCCCGGGCUCAACCUGGGAACUGCAUCUGAUACUGGCAAGCUUGAGUCUCGUAGAGGGGGGUAGAAUUCCAGGUGUAGCGGUGAAAUGCGUAGAGAUCUGGAGGAAUACCGGUGGCGAAGGCGGCCCCCUGGACGAAGACUGACGCUCAGGUGCGAAAGCGUGGGGAGCAAACAGGAUUAGAUACCCUGGUAGUCCACGCCGUAAACGAUGAGUGCUAAGUGUUGGAGGGUUUCCGCCCUUCAGUGCUGCAGCAAACGCAUUAAGCACUCCGCCUGGGGAGUACGACCGCAAGGUUGAAACUCAAAGGAAUUGACGGGGGCCCGCACAAGCGGUGGAGCAUGUGGUUUAAUUCGAUGCAACGCGAAGAACCUUACCUGGUCUUGACAUCCACGGAAGUUUUCAGAGAUGAGAAUGUGCCUUCGGGAACCGUGAGACAGGUGCUGCAUGGCUGUCGUCAGCUCGUGUUGUGAAAUGUUGGGUUAAGUCCCGCAACGAGCGCAACCCUUAUCCUUUGUUGCCAGCGGUCCGGCCGGGAACUCAAAGGAGACUGCCAGUGAUAAACUGGAGGAAGGUGGGGAUGACGUCAAGUCAUCAUGGCCCUUACGACCAGGGCUACACACGUGCUACAAUGGCGCAUACAAAGAGAAGCGACCUCGCGAGAGCAAGCGGACCUCAUAAAGUGCGUCGUAGUCCGGAUUGGAGUCUGCAACUCGACUCCAUGAAGUCGGAAUCGCUAGUAAUCGUGGAUCAGAAUGCCACGGUGAAUACGUUCCCGGGCCUUGUACACACCGCCCGUCACACCAUGGGAGUGGGUUGCAAAAGAAGUAGGUAGCUUAACCUUCGGGAGGGCGCUUACCACUUUGUGAUUCAUGACUGGGGUGAAGUCGUAACAAGGUAACCGUAGGGGAACCUGCGGUUG